rnacentral:rRNA from 1 species
CCUGAACGCUGGCGGCGUGGCUAAGACAUGCAAGUCGUACGGUGUAGCAAUACACAGUGGCGGACGGGUGAGUAAUAUAUCGCUAAUGUACCCCGGAAUCUGGGAUAGCUAUCCGAAAGGGUAGGUAAUACCAGAUGAUAUAACCUGAAGGCAUCUUCGGGUUCUCAAAGGGCAACCGCUCUGGGAGCAGGCGAUAGCGUAUCAGCUAGUUGGUGAGGUAACGGCUCACCAAGGCGACGACGCGUAGCUGGUCUGAGAGGACGGCCAGCCACAUUGGGACUGAGACACUGCCCAGACUCCUACGGGGGGCUGCAGUAACGAAUCUUCCGCAAUGCACGCAAGUGUGACGGAGCGACGCCGCGUGUGGGAUGAAGUCC